rnacentral:lncRNA from 1 species
GGUGCAGAUAGAAGGGACUAGAUGGGUUGGAUGAUUGGUCCAUCUGUUCCAUGAAAAAGGCCAGAAAGAUGACCCAAGAAAAACCCAAGAAAACUUCAAGAAAGUGGCAGUGAACAGCAGAAGCAGAGCAGGCACUAGACCUGCUCUGAUACCACAUUCGGCCGGCCCACUACUGUGCACUUAAUGUUGACGGCCCAAGUUCCUCAGCCCAAGCAACGUAAAAACGUUUUGUAGCAUCUGAAGAUUCAUUUGUAGCAAAAGCGCCUUCGUGUGAGAAGAGAGAGAACAGAGCGACGAGAGUUCUCCGAGAAGUUGGAACGGCGAUAUCUUCCGGCGAAGGCAGCGGUGGCCG